UAGCAAGAUAUGUUGAUUAAGUCACAAGUGGUUCUGGCAUAUUUUCAAGAAUUCUUUGAUUAUUUCACCUGAAAAUUUCAACCAUGGCAAGGUUUUUUUUUUCAGAAUAGUUAAGAAACGUAUGGGGUUGUCUCAAUGCAUAACAUAAUAUUUGUGUAUGAAAAUAUCAUCUUCUGGUCUGAGUUUAAUUGUAUCUUUCACAUCUGAAGAGAUUUGCACAUGAGUUGAUAAACUGGAGAACCUACAAUUGCAUGUUUCUCAACUUCAUUUAGGGGCACAUAUGCUUUAUGGGAUUUGCCAGUAAAAUUUGAAAAUGCAAUGAGCAGAUUUGUGUGACUAGCUUCAGUUAUAUCAUAAAUCGAUCUUGCACUCUAAGAAAUUUCAUAUAGAGAUACAUGUGCAUUUACAUGAAUUGACAAAAAGUAAAGUUCAUAUUUGAGUUGAAUCUCAGAGUUGUUGUCACUAAUGGUUAGCUCCUGAUUAAGUUGCGCCAAGUUAACAAGCUCAAUCAACAAAUCAUCAUUAGAAUUUCAUCUGAUUGCAACAAUGAUUUUGAAUUCGUGGAGGUAGUAAAGAAAGGAGAACCAGCCAACAUUGAAACUUUUCUAUAACUCGAAAUGUUAAAAUUCAAAAAUGUAUAAAAAUACGUACCAAAAGAUUAUAGAGCCACCCAUGGUAUAAUGACAUCCAUAGUAAACAAAGUAUUUCUAACCUAUGAGUAGACACAAAGUCAACAAUGCUACAAGAAAGUAAACAUUUUGGAUUAACCAUAUUGAAUUUUUAUAUGUGUGUACCAAAACACGAAACAUUAGCAAAGGGAAGUAGAUUAACCUAAUCAAUUUUACAUUGAGGUAAAGACCAUCAGCAAGAAAUGAGAGGUAGUUAAUGGCCUCAUCAAUCUCUUUUUGAUCCUUCUUAGUAUGAUUUCCUUGGCGAUGAGUGAAGAAUAUAGAUUCACUUAAAAUUAGGGUACAUAAUUUGCGAUUGCGUGUAUACGACGUGAUUUCAGAAGAAGUAUGUAGACUAGUAGUAUUAUAGCUAAGUGAUGGAUUAAUAAGUGCUAACACAUGCUUAAUAAUUUGACUUUUAGACGUCAUUGUUUGAUUCAUCCAGUUUGGUACUCAUUAGUCACAUCACUUAUAGUUUUCUUAAAUGUGUAUGUUUUAUUGAUAAUGUCAAUGGAUACAAUUAUAGGACCUGAAGGUUAUCUAAGAACAAGAGAAUACAAAGGUAUUUUGUUAUGAGUACAAUGUGAAGAAAUUCAAAUCCCUUUUCUCGUUCUCCGUCCUUCCCUUUUAUAUUUGUUGAGGGUGUGGAUCAUAACAGUGACGUAUCUAUGGCGAGUAUGGUUGGCCUUUAUGAUCGUCUUUAAUGCCUUUAUCUCCUUUACGUUUCGGUUUGAACUGGUCAGCUUGGCAGAAUCACUUUGUCAACUCGGGAUGGGCCUUCGACCUACGUCGGCCCAUUGUCUUUCAAUUGGAUCUUAGCAAUAUUGGACUGGACUCUUGGACCGAAAUCCUCAUAGAGUGACUUAUAUUACUCACCCUCUUUCUUCUCCUUUGCAGGUGAGCAUAACAAAUAGUUGGAUAUAUGGAUUGUUGGUGUUUUGAGAUGACUAUAUAAGACUUUUGUAUGAAAUUUAUUUUGGUUACUGAAUUUUAAAAAUAUUUUCUUAUUUUAUUAAAAACUUUAAUAUUUUAGUUAGUUUUUAAAACAUAAUUUAUCACAAAAAUUAAAACAUAAAUAUUAUUAUUGCAUCCAUAAUAUAAGGUGGCUUGGCCCUUGACGGUUACCAUGGUUGGACUAGAGAGAAGUUAAACCAAAUCAGUGAUUGUGCAUUAAACAACUUUUAUUCAGAGGUAUGCUGGACGUUUAUAAAUACAGUAGAAUAAAAGAUUGUUUUAAGGUAUUUCUAACUUCAUUCUAUUUUCCAAUCUAAAAUAAAAUUUAGAAUAAAAAUGUUAUACUCUGUUUUUACUUUAUAAUAUAAUAAAUAGUGGGUUUACCCUAGAUAUAGAAUAAGUUAUUUUAGAAUCUUAUAUAAUAAAACAGACUUGCCUCUCUCCUCAUUAAGCCACGUCAGCAUGGAGGGAGGGGCUUUUAUUGACACGUGUCACAAUACCAAAGCCUCUGCGAUUGUUUCCGUCGGCUGUUCCGUACUUGAGCGUACUGGGCUUUUAUUAAAAUGAAUAGAUUAGGCCCGAACUUGAGCCCGUUUAGAAACUCAUUCAGUGUUAGGGUUUGUCGUCGUCUGUCUUUCUCUUUCACAUAACGAUGUAAUUCACAGAGUUGAAGCGUCGAUCCAAACUCUUUAACAAGCACCUCUCACCAUGUUUUCUCUCAGAUUGACUAACAAGCACCCAGAUUCCAUGUCUGUUUUCGUUUCUAAUCAAUCUCUCUCCUCCAAAGACGGAUCUAAAGGGACAGCUAGAUAGGUCCAAGAAACAGCAAGAAAGAUGUCAAUCUUUUCUCUCCGGCAUCAGUGCGUUCAGAGCACCUUAUGGACUUUCCAGGCCCUCCUCUGCCCCUGCAGGCUGCGGCCACCAGCCUCAGCUACCAACAACAGCUUAAGAGCCACAAAAUACUGUCUAUAUGGAGAUAUUCAUCAACCUAAACUCAUCAGUGAAAGUGCAGAAAGAGCAGUUAUAGUACCAUAAUCGGACGCUCAUGUGUGACCCUUUUGGAGCAGCAGGGCAUGCUCUUGGAACGGUGUGACAUUUUUCAAAAUUAAACGGUGAGUUAAAGGCCGGUCGGUGUAAGGAAAUUGUUGUUACCCACCUCCUCCGUUUUUGGGAAGCAGAAAGUUGGAGAGCUUAUGGUUCUGGUUAAUUAGCAGGGGAAACUCUGGCGUUCUCGAGGGCGUGUUGUCAAUGGCAAAAAUGGUGGUUGUGUUGCUUUCGUUUUUGGCUACGUUGUCAAUAUUAUCACGGACAUGUAUUCUUUGGUUAGUGAAGCAAAUGGUCAGCAUCACGGACAAAUGAACUCUAUCAGUUAGCCACUGUUGCAUUUUUAUCUACUCAUAGCCUGGGAAUGGACUUUAAUGAGUAUGAUCAACCAAAAAAAAGAAUGUCGAAGAUGGUGGUGAUGAGAAAUUAAAAACUGAGGCAAUUGCUUUGGAAGGAAAUGAAUUUGACUCCUGCACAAAUGCUGCUAUACCCUCUUCACAUUGUCUCUAUUAAUCAAUUAUUCAGGGUUUUCUGGUUUAUAAGGACAAGCUCAGGAAAAAGCUCAGCUCUCUAUUCAAUGAGCUUAAAACAUCAGGAGCCAAACGGCAGCAACGUAGAUUUUAUUGCCCUGUUGUUAAUAUGUCAUUCAACUUUGUGCCUUCAGGCAUGUUCAAUGAAAUCGUAUCUGGUUCGGACAAUGCAAAAUUGGUUUUAGACUGAUUCAUAAUUGGUUUGAGUCUAACAGAAUAUAACCAUUGUUCUAUAAAGAAAAAUCAGUUGUCCUUCACUGAAGUAACACAUCUAAAAUUUGUCUUCUGGUUGUUGAAUUAUUGGGAACGCAAACUAACUAAAAGUUUUAUUUUCUCAUAUAUGCCUUCUAGACAAAACUAGAACAUAAACGUGAAUUUAUGUGAAUUACUAAAUUAUAUUUAAAAAGUCAUAAAUGUCAACCCCCACCCCAUGCUAAAUAUAAUUGUUGUAAUAUUGUGCAUUUGGACUUUUUCAGUGUGAUUGAAGGUAUAUUAUUGUGGUCGUAUCAUAAACCACUAACCCACCAUCACAUUUUAGCUACUCGCGGUGGAGAACGAGCUCUUCAUGGCUGAUGACCCGUCUUCUUAUGAGGCACCUCAAUCUCAUCAGAUAUGAAAGGUGCAGCCACAUCCACGGUUGCAAUGAACAAGAUAUGGAUCACACUUUGCUUCACUUACUACUUUGAUAUAUCUUCUCACUUUUUUGAUAAAUCUUGGUCUUUUUCACAUCUUCAGCAAAUGUCACCCAUAGAACAAGCUAAAGUAGUCAACGAAUUCCAAAAGCAUUUUGCUCAAAUGGAUGUGAUGGUAACAAAAAACUCUAUUCAUUUCUAAGAGCAUAAUACUUAGAAAUUCUGGUGUAGUCGAAAAUACUGGUUGUCAUGUUUAUUCUUAUGCAUAUAUUUGACUUCCUUUUUUUAAUUCAUAAAAUGAUGGACAAAGUAAAAUAAAAUUUAAAUACCUCCAUAUAUUUACUAUAUUUUUCCCUACAAACACAAAAAUAGUUAUGAA